rnacentral:rRNA from 1 species
UACGUAGGGACCAAGCGUUGUUCGGAUUUACUGGGCGUAAAGGGCGCGUAGGCGGCAAUUCAAGUCAGCUGUGAAAUCUCCGAGCUUAACUCGGAACGGUCAGCUGAUACUGUUUUGCUAGAGUACAGAAGGGGCAAUCGGAAUUCUUGGUGUAGCGGUGAAAUGCGUAGAUAUCAAGAGGAACACCUGAGGUGAAGACGGGUUGCUGGGCUGAUACUGACGCUGAGGCGCGAAAAGCUAGGGUAGCAAACGGG